CCUGCCACUAGACCAGUCUGUGCGAGUGACUCGGUGUAAUCCAGUGGAGGUUGAGAGAAAGCCAGCUCUAGGAAGCAGGGCUGCUCAGUCUGAUGAGUAACUCUGUGCCAAAAGUCCUGGAACAGCU